rnacentral:siRNA from 1 species
UCAAUUUUCUGGUGAUCUCUU